CUUCGGAGUGCAAAGUUCCCCUUCCUUACAGGCAGAACAACGACACGUUCCCGGAAGUGGUAGAUACAACCCCGGAGGGGGCCAAGUCCCAGGGUAGAAACUAGACUUGCGUGGCGUGACUUGUGCACUUGAUGAUGUAAUAAGUGUGACUUGGAAGCUCAAGCUCCAUCAUUAGCAUACCUGUCCCUGGUAACCUUUGCUCCUUUUGUGUGUGUUUGUGUGUGUGUAUAUGCGAAUGCGCAUCAUGUGCCCAAGUUGUCAAUGCGUUGAUGUGAUGUUUUAAAGAGACUUUUAUUGAUUGAAUAUAAUCAAGUUUUGUAUUUUUUAUAUCUAGGUCUUGUGCCCCACCUUUACACUGAAGAACCUGUUUGCACACCUUUGUGGGUAACUUCCUACUUCCCUGGUAACAGGGUGGCGAAGUCUUCUACAAUUUUCUCAAAAUCUUUUCCCCAUACCGC